GGGGAAUAUUGGGCAAUGGACGCAAGUCUGACCCAGCAACGCCGCGUGAAGGAAGAAGGCUUUCGGGUUGUAAACUUCUUUUAAGGGGGAAGAGUAGAAGACGGUACCCCUUGAAUAAGCCACGGCUAACUACGUGCCAGCAGCCGCGGUAAUACGUAGGUGGCAAGCGUUGUCCGGAUUUACUGGGUGUAAAGGGCGCGUAGGCGGGAUAGCAAGUCAGAUGUGAAAUGCCAGGGCUUAACCCUGGAGCUGCAUUUGAAACUGCUGUUCUUGAGUAUCGGAGAGGCAGGCGGAAUUCCUAGUGUAGCGGUGAAAUGCGUAGAUAUUAGGAGGAACACCAGUGGCGAAGGCGGCUUGCUGGACAAAUACUGACGCUGAGGUGCGAAAGCGUGGGGAGCAAACA
rnacentral:rRNA from 1 species